AUGAAUGUAUGGGGAGAGCACGCGUUAGGCGUCGCCGAAGGAGCAAACAGGAAAACUGUGAAUCUCUCAGGUAACAAGACUCAUACAGGACG
rnacentral:ncRNA from 2 species